rnacentral:rRNA from 1 species
UACGAAGGGGGCUAGCGUUGUUCGGAAUCACUGGGCGUAAAGCGCACGUAGGCGGACUUUCAAGUCAGGGGUGAAAUCCCGGGGCUCAACCUCGGAACUGCCUUUGAUACUGUUGGUCUUGAGUCCGGAAGAGGUGGGUGGAAUUCCUAGUGUAGAGGUGAAAUUCGUAGAUAUUAGGAAGAACACCGGUGGCGAAGGCGGCUCACUGGCUCGACACUGACGCUGAGGUGCGAAAGCGUGGGGAGCAAACAGG